AUUGAACGCUGGCGGCAGGCCUAACACAUGCAAGUCGAACGGUAACAGGAAGAAGCUUGCUUCUUUGCUGACGAGUGGCGGACGGGUGAGUAAUGUCUGGGAAACUGCCUGAUGGAGGGGGAUAACUACUGGAAACGGUAGCUAAUACCGCAUAACGUCGCAAGACCAAAGAGGGGGACCUUCGGGCCUCUUGCCAUCGGAUGUGCCCAGAUGGGAUUAGCUAGUUGGUGGGGUAACGGCUCACCAAGGCGACGAUCCCUAGCUGGUCUGAGAGGAUGACCAGCCACACUGGAACUGAGACACGGUCCAGACUCCUACGGGAGGCAGCAGCGGGGAAUAUUGCACAAUGGGCGCAAGCCUGAUGCAGCCAUGCCGCGUGUAUGAAGAAGGCCUUCGGGUUGUAAAGUACUUUCAGCGGGGAGGAAGGGAGUAAAGUUAAUACCUUUGCUCAUUGACGUUACCCGCAGAAGAAGCACCGGCUAACUCCGUGGCAGCCGCCGCAGUAA
rnacentral:rRNA from 1 species